GACCUGCUCAAUGAUAAUUAUAUUAAAUAGCCGCAGUAUUUUGACUGUGCGAAGGUAGCAUAAUCAUUUGUCUUUUAAUUGAAGGCUUGAAUGAAUGGUUGGAUGAGGGAAUAUCUUUCUUUACAUUAAUGAAUUGAAGUUAAUUUUUUUGUUAAAAAGCAAAAAUGUUUAAAUGGGACGAGAAGACCCUAUAGAAUUUUACUUUAAUAAAUAAAUUUUAUAUUUAUGGAUUUUACUUUUGAAUUUAUAAUAAAAGUUUUGUUGGGGUGAUGUUAAGAUUUAUAUAACUCUUAUAUUCAUUUAUUUUAUUAAUUUAUAUAUUUUAGAUCCUAUUUGUUAUGGAUAAUUAGAUUAAAUUACCUUAGGGAUAACAGCGUAAUUUUUUUGGUGAGUUCUUAUUAAUAAAAAAGUUUGCGACCUCGAUGUUGGAUUAAAAUAAGAAUUAAGUGCAGAAGCUUAAUUUCUAAGUCUGUUCGACUUUUAAAUUUUUACAUGAU
rnacentral:rRNA from 1 species